GACGAACGCUGGCGGCGUGCCUAAUACAUGCAAGUAGAACGCUGAAGGAGGAGCUUGCUUCUCUGGAUGAGUUGCGAACGGGUGAGUAACGCGUAGGUAACCUGCCUGGUAGCGGGGGAUAACUAUUGGAAACGAUAGCUAAUACCGCAUAAGAGUAGAUGUUGCAUGACAUUUGCUUAAAAGGUGCAAUUGCAUCACUACCAGAUGGACCUGCGUUGUAUUAGCUAGUUGGUGGGG
rnacentral:rRNA from 1 species